rnacentral:rRNA from 1 species
GAUGACGAGUGGCGCACGGGUGCGUAACGCGUAUGCAACCUACCUACUACAGGGGGAUAGCCCGAAGAAAUUCGGAUUAAUACCCCAUAGCACUACAGAUUCGCAUGAUGAAGUAGUUAAAGAACUUCGGUAGUAGAUGGGCAUGCGUAAGAUUAGCUAGUUGGUGAGGUAACGGCUCACCAAGGCUACGAUCGUUAACUGGUCUGAGAGGAUGAUCAGUCAGACUGGAACUGAGAUACGGUCCAGACUCC